ACGGGAGGCAGCAGUGAGGAAUAUUGGUCAAUGGGCGGAAGCCUGAACCAGCCAAGUCGCGUGAAGGAUGAAGGUAUUAUGUAUUGUAAACUUCUUUAGACGCAGAGAAAUAAGAGGCUCGUGAGCCUUGAUGCUAGUAUGCGUAGAAUAAGGAUCGGCUAACUCCGUGCCAGCAGCCGCGGUAAUACGGAGGAUCCGAGCGUUAUCCGGAUUUAUUGGGUUUAAAGGGAGCGUAGGCGGCCUUUUAAGUCAGCGGUCAAAUGUCAGCGCCCAACGCUGGCCUGCCGUUGAUACUGAUGGGCUUGAAUACACACAAGGAAGGUGGAAUUCGUCGUGUAGCGGUGAAAUGCUUAGAUAUGACGAAGAACUCCGAUUGCGAAGGCAGCCUUCUGGAGUGCGAUUGACGCUGAGGCUCGAAAGCGCGGGUAUCAAACAGGAUUAGAUACCUGGUA
rnacentral:rRNA from 1 species